rnacentral:rRNA from 1 species
UACGUAGGGUGCGAGCGUUUGUCCGGAAUUAUUGGGCGUAAAGAGCUUGUAGGCGGUUUGUCGCGUCUGCUGUGAAAAUCCGGGCUCAACCCCGGACUUGCAGUGGGUACGGGCAGACUAGAGUGUGGUAGGGAGACUGGAAUUCCUGGUGUAGCGGUGAAAUGCGCAGAGUAUCAGGAGGAACACCGAUGGCGAAGGCAGGUCUCUGGGC